rnacentral:tRNA from 1 species
GCCUAGUUAGCUUGGUUGGUAGCGCGUCUGCCUUGUAAGCACUAGACCGGGGGUUCGAUUCCCGCCCGGGGCG